rnacentral:rRNA from 1 species
GACGAACGCUGGCGGCGUGCCUAAUACAUGCAAGUAGAACGCAGUUGCGAACGGGUGAGUAACGCGUAGGUAACUGCCUCAUAGCGGGGGAUAACCAUUGGAAACGAUAGCUAAUACCGCAUACUGUGAGAUGGACCUGCGUUGUAUUAGCUAGUUGGUGAGGUAAAGGCUCACCAAGGCGACGAUAGAUAGCCGACGUGAGAGGGCGAUGGGCCAGACUGGUCAUGAGACACGGCCCAGACUGCUACGGGAGGCAGCAGUAGGAAAUCUUGGGGAAUGGACGGAAGUCUGACCGAGCAAAGCCGGCUGCGUGACGAGGGUUUUCGGAUCGUACAGCUUGGUUGUUAGAGAAGCGGUAACUAGCCAGAAAGGGACGGCUAACUACGUGCCAGCCGCCGCGGUAAUAC